AAAAAGGUUAUGAGUGGAAAUAGUAGAAACUAUUUGAUUACUACAGAGAGCCGUGGUUGCUGAGAAACGGUGUAUUCACUAGUUUUGAACUCAUCCAUGAACUGCUGUCCGAAUUGUAGUAGGGCUUGACGGUAUUCUACCGUUAAAAAGAUAGAUGGUGUUAGCCAUUGAAAGAGGGAAUUCUGUUAUAGAAUUAAAUUGAGUGGUACCGCGGGUUUAUAUACUCGUCUCUAUU
rnacentral:ncRNA from 1 species